rnacentral:rRNA from 1 species
AGUGAACGCUGGCGGUAGGCCUAACACAUGCAAGUCGAACGGCAGCACAGUAAGAGCUUGCUCUUACGGGUGGCGAGUGGCGGACGGGUGAGGAAUACAUCGGAAUCUACUUUUUCGUGGGGGAUAACGUAGGGAAACUUACGCUAAUACCGCAUACGACCUACGGGUGAAAGCAGGGGAUCUUCGGACCUUGCGCGAUUGAAUGAGCCGAUGUCGGAUUAGCUAGUUGGCGGGGUAAAGGCCCACCAAGGCGACGAUCCGUAGCUGGUCUGAGAGGAUGAUCAGCCACACUGGAACUGAGACACGGUCCAGACUCCUACGGGAGGCAGCAGUGGGGAAUAUUGGACAAUGGGCGCAAGCCUGAUCCAGCCAUACCGCGUGGGUGAAGAAGGCCUUCGGGUUGUAAAGCCCUUUUGUUGGGAAAGAAAAGCAGCAGGUUAAUACCCCGCUGUUCUGACGGUACCCAAAGAAUAAGCACCGGGUAACUUCGU